GCAAGUCUUUGGUGAAGCUGUGCUUGCACAGCCUAGCCAAGGCGGACGGGUGAGUAACGCGUAAGGAACUUGCCCUGCAGUCAGGGAUAACAGACGGAAACGACUGAUAAGACCUGGUAAAGUCAGGCGGACUCAUGUCCAGCCUGAUGAAAAGAGAUGCUGCAGGAGAGCCUUGCGUCCUAUUAGCUUGUUGGUGGGGUAACGGCCCACCAAGGCGAUGAUAGGUAGCCGGCCUGAGAGGGUGGACGGCCACAAGGGGACUGAGAUACGGCCCUUACUCCUACGGGAGGCAGCAGUGGGGAAUAUUGGACAAUGGGGGCAACCCUGAUCCAGCAAUUCUGUGUGCACGAUGAAGGUUUUCGGAUUGUAAAGUGCUUUCAGCAGGGAAGAAAAAAAUGACGGUACCUGCAGAAGAAGCGACGGCUAAAUACGUGCCAGCAGCCGCGGUAAUACGUAUGUCGCAAGCGUUAUCCGGAAUUAUUGGGCAUAAAGGGCAUCUAGGCGGCCAGAUAAGUCUGGGGUGAAAACUUGCGGUCUCAACCGCAAGCCUGCCCUGGAAACUAUGUGGCUAGAGUACUGGAGAGGUGGACGGGAACUGCACGAGUAGAGGUGAAAUUCGUAGA
rnacentral:rRNA from 1 species